AGAUCCGAACCACAGCGAUGGCCUCAUAAGCUAGCUUUGCAUGUACUUUUCCAGUUAUAUCCUGCUCGAUUCCGUUCCAGCUCUGGGUACGCUCAGUUGCACAUGCAAAAACUUUUCCAAACAGGGGGACAAUUUUCCCACAAGCCAAUGAUUCAUGUAAGACAAGCUUGCAGCCUCUUCCAGACCACUUGUUCAGGCCAUCCUCAAAUUUAGGAUUUGCCAUGAUGUUCCCUUCUCCAUAUCCAGUGUCCACAAAUUGAUAAUGACUUGUUUCCUUUUGAUAACUUGUUUUCUCUUGAUAGCUUGUUUCCUUUUGAUAGCUUGUUUCCUUUCCAUAUCAAAAUGAAGAGAAUUUCACAAAUUAAUCAUCACAAAAAGUAUAAAUAAAAUUAAUAAAUAGAUUUAAGAAGAAAAAUUACGUAGAAUUCACUUGGUGGGGAGCUGGAAAUAACUACUGAUUGUAUAAGCAAGUCCACUGCAGCAGAAGGGCCUUCCAAGUAAAAAACGGCACGAUCAGGCUUCUUUGGCAGGGAGAAUUUUCCUUCCAACUUUUCCCACCUUUCCUUUGACAGAGAAAUUCUGCAGGGAUAUAUAACUUACAUUAAGACUAUCUGUAUGUUUCAUUUAAGGAAGAAACGCAAUAAAGUGAAGCAGCAAAUCUAUUACCUUCCAAUGAACAAAUAGUCUGUUGGGGAAUUUCGAUAUUCCACUCUCAAAGUAGCUUGUACAUCAGUGGUUCCCUGAAUAUGUCCUGAUACACCAACAUAUGCAGUAACAUAAUAAGUGGAACCUGGAGAAACAAUGCUUGUGAUAUCUUGCUCCAAGCCCUGCCAACUUUCUGUUCGAUUUGAGACAACUGCAUAAUAACCACCUCGCUUUGUUAAGAAUGCUGGGUGACCUGACUCUGCUGAAACCACAGAGAAACUGCAGCCAUUUGCGUGCCAAGAAUGCUGUCCUUGAGAGAAGUCAUGGUUCGUUAUGACAUUGAUGGUGGUGUUGCCACUUGAACCAGAUAUGCCUUGGUCCAUUAUGGUCUUGAUAGCAGUGUCACCAUAUGAACCAACAGUGCUCUGGUCCAUUGUGAUAUUGAUGGCACCGCUGCUACUUCUACAAGACAUGCCAUGGUCCCUUCUGAUAUUGGCGAUAUCGCUGCUACUUGAACUAACUUUGCCCUGAUCCAUUAUAUUAAAGUUUGAGCAACUUUGAAAUAUCUAUGUAAAAACAUGUAAAGAUUAUUCAAUAGAACAUUCAUAAUAAUAAUAUAACAACAGCAACAUUACAACAAUUGAGGUUUUCGCACUAAAUUUUAAUGGAGAAAAAAUUGCCGCUGCAUUAAAAUUUAGGCUAAUUUAUUUAAAAAGACCCAAUAUUUAUAUGUAUUUACAUUUUAAUUUAAUUCUUUCAAUUUUAGUUUAAUUAACUCAACCUUUAUAUUUUAGUAUAAUUUUAGCCUAUUUACAAAAUUUUAAAUUUAAUAGUCUAACUGGUAUCAAGUAUGUGUAUAUUAUUAUUAUUUAAUUGGUUAAUUAAUUAAAAAAGGCCAAAUAUUUAUUAUUUUAUAUUUUAAUUCAAACGUUUAAAUUUUAAAUAAAUGGAUUUAAUAUUUAUGUUUGAUUAUAAUUUUGAUUAAUUUUUAAAAUUAAAAUUAAAAAUAAAUAAUUUAAUUAUUAAAUAUGUAGUUCACAAUUUUAACUGAUAAAUUUUAUUUUACCGUAAUAAUUAUAAAUAUUUUAUAAUAAAUAUAUUAUUUAAUUCAAAAUUGUAGUAUAUAUAAAAUAAUUAAAAAUAAUAUAUUUAUUAUAAAAUUUUUAUAAUUAUUAAUACAAAAUAAAAUUUAUCUACUGUUAAAUGUUGAUAGCAUAUUAAAUAGUUAGAUUAUUAUUAUUUUUAAAAUUAAAUAUAUCAUUUAAAAUUACACUCUAGCAUUGCUCAAUUCAUCCAAAAUUUAAAUAUUUGAAUUAAAACGUAAAAUGAUGUAAACAAUAAAUUUUUAUAGUAAUUUGAUUAUUAGUUUAUAAUUAAAUAGUAAUAAUACACAUAACAUACUAAUUAAACUAUCAAAUUUAAAAAUUUACAUAUUAAUUAAAAUUGCAUCAAAACAUAAAGGUUAGAUUAAUUAAAUUAAAAUUAAAAAAAUUAAAUUAAAAUGUAAAUAUAUAUAAACUUUGAGUCUUUUUAAGUCAAUUGAUCUAAAAUUUAUUGUAAAAUACUAAAAUUUUACCACUAAGACUCCAUUUGUUUGGAGAAAAUAACUUGUAAUUGGAAAAUAUUUUUAAUUUAUAAAAAAAAUAAAAUAUAUUAACAAUUUAUAUAUAAGAUCUUAAUAAGAUUCUUAAAAUAGGAAAAAUGACUUACUUUUUUAAAAAAUCAAAAUUUAUUUUUAAAAUAAUUUAUUUUUUUUGGUAAAAAAAUAUUUUUUAUUGACUAAAUUUUUUAAAUACCUUAUCUAUUAAAAAAAUAUUUUUCUAAAACAUAUUUUUCAGUGAAAUAAAAGAAGAGUAAUUAUAAAAAAUCAUUAUUAAAACUUUUAACGUUAUAUUUUUUGUAGUGAUUUAAUGACUGAACUUGAAUUUUAUCUCUCAAUACUCUAGGGGUGAAUUUUACACAUUUAAUAAUAAUUUUUAUUUUUAUAAAAAGUUAAUUUCUUGUAAUCUAACAAUAAAAAAAUAUAAACAAAAAGUUUAACAUUAAAAUUGGAGGAAAAAUUUUUCUAUAUAAAGUUUAUAUAGACCAAUUCAUAUGAAACUAUAUAAAUUUAACACUAUAAAUCUAUAAGAUCUGAUCUAGAGAUAAGAAUUAUCGGUAAAUUUAGUUUAACUAACCUCAAUUGUUGGACGAGAGGAGGGAGGUACUUUCUCAGCAUGCUUUAGAAAAAAGCCGUUCACAAGAAUAUCAGUGCCUGCAGGUGGACCUUCUAUGAAAAUCACUACCUUUGUAGGGUAAUCAUUUAGAUGGAAUUUUCCCUUUAACUGUAUCCACUCUUUAUCUGUUGUCUGCAUACUACAGUUUCAAAAAGAUAAUCAUGAAAAUAAAUCAAGAAAAUGGUAAAAAAAAUCUAAAUAAUUUGAUUUGGUUAAUGAAAAUGAUGGAGAUAAUAUAACUAAAUAAAUCUUAAAACCUGGCGUUAUAAUCUAUAUCGAUAUUAAAUAUAAUAAAGUUUAACUCUAAAAUUAAGUUUUUCUAAAAGUAAAUGGGAAAGUAUAAUUUAAAAUCUCUCAAAUUUAUUCAGAUGCAUUUAUAAUCAGGCUAAAUCUGUGAGUGUAUAAGUCUUUUUAUUAUAUUUUUUAUAUUAGUUAAUUUUUCUCUUAUUUUAUUAUUACUUCCUCUCUACUAAAAGAAGAAAUGCCUUUAAAUUUUUAAAAAAUAUGAUAAAAAUAACUUUAAGUAUUCUAUUUGAGUUACUCAAGUAAAUAAUGGCUAAAGUAAGUGUCUAGAUGAUAAAUAAAGCCAUCUGACUCAGAGGGUUGAAUUAAGAAAAUGAUGUUUGCAGAAAUUGAAGGUGAUAAAAGAAUAUUAUAUAUGGAGAUAAUUAGAGGGAAAAAGAGCUAACUUGGCAAUGCCUAUGUAUUCUUCUUGGAGAUCUGUUGUUUGGACGCAUAAAGUAACUCGCACAUCAGCACUGCUAACAUUGUUGCCAAAGAUACGAACCACAGCAAUGGCCUCAUAAGCUUGCUUUGCCUGUACUUUUCCAGUUAUCUCCUGCUCGAUUCCGUUCCAGCUCUGGGUACGCUCAGUUGCACAUGCAAAAACUUUUCCAAACAGGGGGACAAUUUUCCCACAAGCCAAUGAUUCAUGUAAGACAAGCUUGCAGCCUCUUCCAGACCACUUGUUCAGGCCAUCCUCAAAUUUAGGAUUUGCCAUGAUGUUCCCUUUUCCAUAUCCAGUGUCCACAAAUUGAUAAUUACUUGUUUCCUUUUGAUAACUUGUUUUCUCUUGAUAGCUUGUUUCCUUUUGAUAGCUUGUUUCCUUUCCAUAUCAAAAUGAAGAAAAUUUUACAAAUUUAUCAUCACAAAAAUGUAUAAAUAAAAUUAAUAAAUAGGUUUAAGAAGAAAAAUUACAUGGAAUUCACUUGGAGGGGAACUGGUAAUAACGACUGAUUGUACAAGCAAGUCCACUGCAGGAGAAGGGCCUUCCAAGUAAAAAAGGACACGAUCAGGCUUCUUUGGCAGGGAGAAUUUUCCUUCCAACUUUUCCCACCUUUCCUUUGACAGAGAAAUUCUGCAGGGAUAUAUAACUUACAUUAAGACAAUCUGUAUGUUUCAUUUAAGGAAGAAAUGCAAUAAAAUGAAGCAACAAAUCUAUUACCUUCCAAUGAACAAAUAGUCUGUUGGGGAAUUUCGAUAUUCCACUCUCAAAGUAGCUUGCACAUCAGUGGUUCCUUGAAUAUUUCCUGAUACACCAACAUAUGCAGUAACAUAAUAAGUGGAACCUGGAGAAACAAUGCUUGUGAUAUCUUGCUCCAAGCCCUGCCAACUUUCUGUUCGAUUCGAGACAACUGCAUAAUAACCACCUCGCUUUGUUAAGAAUGCUUUGUGACCUGACUCUGCUGAAACCACAGAGAAACUGCAGCCAUUUGCGUGCCAAGAAUGCUGUCCUUGAGAGAAGUCAUGGUUCGUUAUGACAUUGAUGGUAGUGUUGCCACUUGAACCAGAUAUGCCCUGGUCCAUUAUGGUCUUGAUGACAGUGUCACCUCUUGAACCAGCCAUCCCAUGGUCCGAUGUGAUAUUGAUGGUUUCGCUGCUACAGGAAGUAGCUAUGCCCUGGUCCACUGUGGUCUUGAUGGUUCCCCUGCUACUUGAACUAGCUAUGCCCUGGUCCAUUAUAUUGAAGUUUGAAAUAUAUAUGUAAAAACACGUAAAGAUUCUCCCAUAGAACAUUCAUAACGAUAGAAUGAACAAACUGUUUUGCUCUGGGUCUAUAUUGACCCAUAAUGUAAAACAGCAAUGGGAUCUACAUAAAAUUUCAUAAAUUUAUACUACAGAUACAUGUACACACGAUGUAGAGAAGAAUUGUCCAUAAAGUUAGUUCAAUUAACCUGAAUUGUUGGAUGAGGGGAAGAAGAUACUUUCUCAGCAUGCUUUAGAAAAAAGCCAUUGACAAGAAUAUCAAUGCCUGCAGGUGGACCUUCUAUAAAAAUCACUAGCUUUUUAGGAUAAUUAUUUAGAAGGAGCUUCCCCUUCAACUGUACCCACUCCUUAUCUGUUACCUGCAUACUAUAGACCCAAAACGACAAUCAUCGUCAAAUCAAUUCAAGAAUAUGGUAAAAUAAAAUUUAAAUAAUUUAAUUUAAUUAAUGAAAAUAAUAAAAAUGAUAUAACCGAAUAAAUACUAUAAAAUUAAUUCUAAAACAUAUUUUUCUAAAAGCGAUAAGUGUCUUUCUAUUAGAUUUUUUUUCCUAAUCUAUUUCGCCCAUAUCUUAUUAAUUACUUAAUAAAUAGCUCUUUAUAUUUUUUUUUGAAAUAACGUGACUUUUCAUUUUAAUAAUAAUAAUAAUAAUAAAUAUGCAUAUAUUAAAUAAAAUUUAUUAGUAUUAUUAUUAUUAUUCCUGAUUGAUAUAUGACCUUCUAGUUUCUCAGUAUUAAACAUAAAAAAUUUAUAUACAAUUAAAAUAUAUGCGUGCGUGAUCAGAGAGAAAAUUUGAAAAAAAAAAUCUUAAAUUUGAAAUUAGUAAGUAAAAAUAAUUAAAAACAUAUAAUAAUGGAUCAAUUAAUCAUAAUUUUAAAUGCAUAUUAUAGUUAUCUUUUAACUAUUUUUUACCCAACUUUUGAUAUUUUUUAUGUUGAGGCAUUACUCUUAGGUGUUGAUAACUAAUAUUUACGUGAAUAUGAUUAUAAAAUAUCUAAUUAAAUUUAAAUAUAUAUAAAUCUUAUAAUAAUAAAGUCAACAUAAAAAUGAUUUAUAAUAAUAAUAUAAAGAAGUAAGAUGACAAGUAAAAUGAAGUCUGGUCCAAACAGUCCGGACUCUUUCUCUUAAAUUCUCUAUAAAUUGAGAGGCUCUACUCAAUAGAGAAACUUAGAAGAUCAAGUUGAAAUUAUAAAAAUUAUGAAACCGUACGGGUCAAACUGAUUUAAAUAAUUUUUAAAUUUAUUUUUUAUUUAAUAAAAAAUAAUUAAUAUUUUUAAAUUUAUUUUUUAUUUGAUUUAAAAUAGUUAACCCAAAUUAUUUAGUAGUUUUCAACUUGACCUAAAAUAGUUAAUCCGAAUUAUUUAGUAGUUUCAUAUUAACUAUUAUAUAUAAUUUCAAUUUAUUGUAGCAAGCAUCUCCCCCACUAAAUUUUAUGAUAUUCUCGUCGCACCCAUUUUCUACUUAACUCAAAACAAUUAACUCAAGUUAUUUAAUAGUUUCGUGCUAAUUAUUAUAUACAAUUUCAAUUUAUUGUAUUCUGCUGACGUAGGACGUUUCACAUCAAGUUCAAGCUGAGUUUCACACUCUCUUCCGUUAAAUUUGCGAUGUUCUAGUCGCUAUUAAAUUAGUUGCUAAAUCAGGACCAGACCCUCGGAUAUUAUGGUUUGUUAGUAUUUCGAAUGGUUUCAUCUUGUGUCACAUGAAUAGCCAUUUCCUUACAGAUUCACUAAUUCUGCACAAUUUUUUUUAUUUAGGAUGGACUCUGAUACCAAUUGAAACAGUUCGAUCUAAAUAAUUUUUGGACCCACUUCUUACUUGAUUCAAAAUAAUUAAUUCAAAUUAUUUAGUAGUUUUAUACUAACUAUUAUAUAUAAUUUUUAUUUUAUCGUAUUCUCCCGACGUGGAACGUUAGAUGUAAGCAAGCCCCUGACUUUCACAAACCAUGCUAAAAUUACAAAUUAUCCAUUUUACAGAAUUUUCACUCAAAUUUUAAAACUAUCAAAUUAUUUUUUUCCGAAUGUAAAAGGCUUUUCUUUAUCAAUUUAAGAAUAAAUUUUUUAAAUUCUUAAUCUCAUAAAUAAAAAAGAAAUUAAAAUAUCGAGUUUUUUUAUUUCAAAUAAUUUAUUGUUGAAAAUCCAACCCAUUUUUUUUAAAUUGAUAUUUAUUAACUGCUUUUUUAUUUUUUUAUUUCAGUUAUGAAAUUUACGUGCACACUAUUACUUUCUUUCACCUUGUUCCAAAUACAUUAAUAGUUAUUUCAACUAAAUAAAGCCUAAAAAUAUUUACCUGAUGUGGGUAAGUGUCUAGUUUAAAAAUCCAUGUGAAUAAAAGAUUGAAUUAAGAAAAUGCUGUUUGCAGAGAUUGAAGGUGAUAAAAGAAUAUUAUAUAUAGAGAUUAUUAGAGGGAAAAAGAGCUAACUUGGCAAUGCCUAUGUAUUCUUCUCGGAGAUCUGUGGUUUGGACGCAUAAAGUAACUCGCACCUCAGCACUGCCAACAUUGUUGCCAAAGAUACGAACCACAGCAAUGGCCUCAUAAGCUUGCUUUGCCUGCACUUUUCCAGUUAUCUCCUGCUCGAUUCCGUUCCAGCUCUGGGUACGCUCAGUUGCACAUGCAAAAACUUUUCCAAACAGGGGGACAAUUUUCCCACAAGCCAUUGAUUCAUGUAAGACAAGCUUACAGCCUCUUCCAGACCACUUGUUCAGGCCAUCCUCAAAUUUAGGAUUUGCCAUGAUGUUCCCUUCUCCAUAUCCAGCGUCCACAAAUUGAUAAUUACUUGUUUCCUUUUGAUAACUUGUUUUCUCUUGAUAGCUUGUUUCCUUUUGAUAGCUUGUUUCCUUUUGGUAGCUUGUUUCCUUUCCAUAUCAAAAUGAAGAAAAUUUUACAAAUUUAUCAUCACAAAAAUGUAUAAAUAAAAUUAAUAAAUAGUUUUAAGAAGAAAAAUUACAUGGAAUUCACUUGGAGGGGAGCUGGUAAUAACGACUGAUUGUACAAGCAAGUCCACUGCAGGAGAAGGGCCUUCCAAGUAAAAAAGGACACGAUCAGGCUUCUUUGGCAGGGAGAAUUUUCCUUCCAACUUUUCCCACCUUUCCUUUGACAGAGAAAUUCUGCAGGUAUAUAUAACUUACAUUAAGACGAUCCGUAUGUUUCAUUUAAGGAAGAAAUGCAAUUAAGUGAAGCAACAAAUCUAUUACCUUCCAAUGAACAAAUAGUCUGUUGGGGAAUUUCGAUAUUCCACUCUCAAAGUAGCUUGUACAUCAGUGGUUCCCUGAAUAUUUCCUGAUACACCAACAUAUGCAGUAACAUAAUAAGUGGAACCUGGAGAAACAAUGCUUGUGAUAUCUUGCUCCAAGCCCUGCCAACUUUCUGUUCGAUUCGUGACAACUGCAUAAUAACCACCUCGCUUUGUUAAGAAUGCUGGGUGACCUGACUCUGCUGAAACCGCAGAGAAACUGCAGCCAUUUGCGUGCCAAGAAUGCAGUCCUUGAGAGAAGUCAUGGUUCGUUAUGACAUUGAUGGUAGUGUUGCCACUUGAACCAGAUAUGCCCUGGUCUAUUAUGGUCUUGCUGACAGUGUCACCUCUUGAACCAGCCAUCCCAUGGUCCGCUGUGAUGUUGAUGGUUUCGCUGCUACAGGAAGUAGCUAUGCCCUGGUCCGUUGUGGUCUUGAUGGUUCCGCUGCUACUUGAACUAGCUAUGCCCUGGUCCAUUAUAUUAAAGUUUGAGCAAGUUUGAAAUAUAUAUGUAAAAACAUGUAAAGAUUCUCCCAUAGAACAUUAAUAAUGAUAGAAGGAAAAAACUGUUUUGCACAGGAUCUAUAUUGACCUAUAAUGUAAAAUAGUAAUGAAAUUUACAUAAAAUUUCAUAAAUUUAUACUACAGACUCAUAUAGAUCUGAUAUAGAUAAGGAUUGUCUGUAAAAUUAGUUCAACUUACCUGAAUUGUUGGAUGAGGGGAGGAAUGUACUUUUUCAGCAUGCUUUAGAAAAAAGCCAUUGACAAGAAUAUCAGUGUCUGCAGGUGGACCUUCUAUAUAAAUUACUACCUUUUUAGGGUAAUUAUCUAGAAGGAACUUCCCCUUCAACUGUACCCACUUUUUAUCUGUUACCUCCAUACUAUACAUCCAAAAAGACAAUCAUCAUGAAAUCAAUUAAAAAAUAUAGUAAAAGAAAAUCUAGAUAAUUUAAUUUAGUUGAUGAAAAUGAAAGAAAUGAUAUAACUUAAUAAAACCUAAAACCUCAUAUUCCUAUAUGAUAUAGUUAUAAAAAUCUAUAUAAUCUAAAUAUAUAUAAAAACUAUAAAAUUAACUUUAAAAUAUAUUUUUCUAAACGUGAUAAGUGUCUUUCUAUUAGAUUUUUUUUUGUCUAUUUAUCUAUUUUGUCCAUAUCUUAUUACUUAAUAGAUAGCUUUUUAUAUUUUUUUUGAAAGUACGUGAGUUUUCAUUUUAAUAAUAAUAAUAAUAAAUAUGUAUAUAUUAAAUAAAAUUUAUUAGUAUUAUUAUUAUUAUUAUUCCUGAUUGACAAAUGAAUAACAAGUAAAAUUAAGAUGAAAAAGUAAUUAUUCUCUAUUUUAACAACAAAAAAAUAAUAUUUAUAACUUUCUCUUGUUAAGUUUGUAAUAAAAAAAUCGAUGAUGAUUUUUUUACUGUUAAUCUCUAAAGAAAAUAAUCUUUUAUGAUAUUUGAUUUAAUACAGAAAAUGAAGUUAAUUAUUAGCGUAUUAGUAUUAAUCUUAGUUAUGUUUAGUAUAAUAAAAUGAUAAAUAAAAGAAAUUGAGAGAUUAAAAUUUAACCCAGUCCAGAUAUUGCAGUAUAAGAGGUAGUGUAAUGAAUAUGCACUCAGUAGGUGAAUAUUAAUCUGGUGUAAAUUUUAACUCAAAAAAUCAACCAUAGCUAAAUGAGAUUAACUAUUUAUAGGAAUAAAAAUUUAAAAUUUCAAUUAUAAAAUACCAUAGAUCUCUUGGUUCUAUAAAUUUUAUUUAAAAAUUAUUAAUUAAAUUAAUUUUACUAAAUAAAUUCAUUUAAUAUAAAUUGAUAAUUAAAAAAAAAAAAUUACAUGUCACUUAAUUAAAAGAGACCAGUUAACCGCCAAAAUAGGCAAUUGAGACUAUUUUCUCAAAUCCUCUGUGAAUAGAGAAGUGCCGAUGGAGAAACUAAGAAGAUUAAGUCUAAGCUAUAGAAAGCUAUGUUAAAAUUGCAAGUUAUCCAUUCUACAGAAUCUUCAUCAAGUUUUAAGACUAUAAAAGUCAUUCUUUCUCAAAUCAAAGAGGGUUUUUUAAUCGAUUUAAGAAUAAACUUUUCAAAUUCUUAAAUCUCAUAAAUCAAAGAAAAAAAAUUAAAGUAUUGAAUUUCUUUAUUUCAAAUAAUUUAUUAUUGGAAAUUCAACUCACUUUUUUUAUUAAAUUAAUAUUUAUUCCCUAUUUUUUUAUUUUUUAAUUUCAGUUAUGAAAUUUAUGUGUACACUGUUACCUUCUUUGACCUUAUACUAAAUAUAUUAAUAGUUAUUUCAAUUAAAUAAGGUCUAAAAAUAUUCACACGAUGUGGGUAAGUGUCUAAUUCAUAAAUCCACAUGAAUAAAAGGUUGAAUUAAGAAAAUGCUAUUUGCAGAAAUCGAAGCUGAUAAAAAGAAUAUUAUGUAUGGAAAUUAUUAGAGGGAAAAAGAGCUAACUUGGCAAUGCCUAUGUAUUCUUCUCGGAGAUCUGUCGUUUGGACGCAUAAAGUAACUCGCACAUCAGCACUGCUAACAUUGUUGCCAAAGAUCCGAACCACAGCAAUGGCCUCAUAAGCUACCUUUGCCUGUACUUUUCCAGUUAUCUCCUGCUCUAUUCCGUUCCAGCUCUGGGUACGCUCAGUUGCACAUGCAAAAACUUUUCCAAACAGGGGGACAAUUUUUCCACAAGCCAAUGAUUCAUGUAAGACAAGCUUGCAGCCUCUUCCAGACCAUUUGUUCAGGCCAUCCUCAAAUUUAGGAUUUGCCAUGAUGUUCCCUUCUCCAUAUCCAGUGUCCACAAAUUGAUAAUUACUUGUUUCCUUUUGAUAGCUUGUUACCUUUUGAUAGCUUGUUUCCUUUCCAUAUCAAAAUGAAAAAUUUUUUACAAAUUUAUCAUCACAAAAAAGUACAAAUAAAAUUAAUAAAUAGGUUUAAGAAGAAAAAUUACAUAGAAUUCACUUGGAGGGGAGCUGGUAAUAACGACUGAUUGUACAAGCAAGUCCACUGCAGGAGAAGGGCCUUCCAAGUAAAAAAGGACACGAUCAGGCUUCUUUGGCAGGGAGAAUUUUCCUUCCAACUUUUCCCACCUUUCCUUUGACAGAGAAAUUCUGCAGGGAUAUAUAACUUACAUUAAGACAAUCUGUAUGUUUCAUUUAAGGAAGAAAUGCAAUAAAAUGAAGCAACAAAUCUAUUACCUUCCAAUGAACAAAUAGUCUGUUGGGGAAUUUCGAUAUUCCACUCUCAAAGUAGCUUGCACAUCAGUGGUUCCUUGAAUAUUUCCUGAUACACCAACAUAUGCAGUAACAUAAUAAGUGGAACCUGGAGAAACAAUGCUUGUGAUAUCUUGCUCCAAGCCCUGCCAACUUUCUGUUCGAUUCGAGACAACUGCAUAAUAACCACCUCGCUUUGUUAAGAAUGCUUUGUGACCUGACUCUGCUGAAACCACAGAGAAACUGCAGCCAUUUGCGUGCCAAGAAUGCUGUCCUUGAGAGAAGUCAUGGUUCGUUAUGACAUUGAUGGUAGUGUUGCCACUUGAACCAGAUAUGCCCUGGUCCAUUAUGGUCUUGAUGACAGUGUCACCUCUUGAACCAGCCAUCCCAUGGUCCGCUGUGAUAUUGAUGGUUUCGCUGCUACAGGAAGUAGCUAUGCCCUGGUCCGUUAUAUUAAAGUUUGAGCAAGUUUGAAAUAUAUAUGCAAGAACAUGUAAAGAUUCUCCCAUUGACUCAUAAUAUAAAAUAAUAAUGGAUCUACAUAAAAUUUCAUAAAUUUAUACUACAGAUCUAUGUAGACCUGAUAUAUAGAUAAGAAUUGUCUGUAAAAUUAGUUCAACUAACCUGAAUUGUUGGAUGAGGGGAGGAAGGUACUUUCUCGGCAUGCUUUAGAAAAAAACCAUUGAUAAGAAUAUCAGUGUCUGCAGGUGGACCUUCUAUAAAAAUCACUACCUUUUUAGGGUAAUUAUUUAAAAGGAACUUCCCCUUCAACUGUACCCACUCUUUAUCUGUUAUCUGCAUGCUAUAGAUCCAAAAAGACAAUCAUCUUGAAAUCAAUUCAAAAAUAUGAUAAAAGAAAAUCUAAAUAAUUUAAUUUAGUUUAUAAAAAUAAUAGAAAUGAUAUAAUUGAAUAAAACCUAAAAUCUCAUAUUCCUACGUGAUAUAGUAUAAAAAUCUAUAUAAUCUACUUCUAUAUAAAUAUUAUAAAAUUAAUUCUAAAACAUAUUUUUAUAAAACUGAUAAGUGUCUUUCUAUUAGAUUUUUUUUUCCUAGUCCAUAUCUUAUUAUUUAAUAGAUAGCUCUUUAUAUUUUUUGUUAAAGAACGUGACUUUUCAUUUUAAUAAUAAUAAUAAUAAUAAUAAUAAUAAUAAUAAUAAUAAUAAUAAUGUAUAUAUUAAAUAAAAUUUAUUAGUAUUAUUAUUAUUCCUAAUUGAUAUAUGACCUUCUAGUUUCUCAGUAUUAAACUAUUUUUUUGCCCAACUUUUGAUAUUUUUUAUAAUGAGGCGUUACUCUUAGCUGAUAACUAAUAUUUACGUAAAUAAAUUAUGCUGAUCUUAUUAAAUGUUUAGUCAUAUUUUUAUUAUUAAUUACCCAUUGACAUGAUUAUAAAAUAACUAUUUAAAUUUAAAUAUAUAUAAAUAUUAUAAUAAUAAGUCAACAUAAAAAUGAUUUAUAAUAAUAAUAUAAAGUAAGAUGACAAGUAAGAUGAAAAUUAGUUAAUAAAUUAUAAUAAUGAAUAUAAAAAGUUGUAAUCACAAUUAUAUAAAAAUGAAUGAAUACCAAGUAAAAUUAAUAUGAAAAAGUAAUUAUACUCUAUUUUAAUAAUAAAAAAGAAUAUUUAUAAAUAUAAAAUCAUUAUAACUCUCUCUUGUUAAGUUUUAAAAGUGAUAAUAAAAAUAUAUUUAAAAUAAUGAUAAAACUUUCACAAAUAUGCAUAAGGCCUAAAAGCAUCCGCCCAACAUAGGUAAGUGUAGUUCAUAAAUAAAGCCAUGUGAACAAAGGGUUGAAUUAAGAAAAUCCUGUUUGUAGAGAUUCAAGGUGAUAAAAGAAUAAUAUAUACGAAGAUUAUUAGAGGGAAAAAGAGCUAACUUGGCAAUGCCUAUGUAUUCUUCUCGGAGAUCUGUCGUUUGGACGCAUAAAGUAACUCGCACAUCAGCACUGCUGACAUUGUUGCCAAAGAUCCGAACCACAGCAAUGGCCUCAUAAGCUUGCUUUGCCUGUACUUUUCCAGUUAUCUCCUGCUCGAUUCCGUUCCAGCACUGUGUACGUUCAGUUGCACAUGCAAAUACUUUUCCAAACUGGGGAACAAUUUUCCCACAAGCCAAUGAUUCAUGUAAGACAAGCUUGCAGCCUCUUCCAGACCACUUGUUCAGGCCAUCCUCAAAUUUAGGAUUCGCCAUGAUGUUCCCUUCUCCAUAUCCAAUGUCCACAAAUUGAUAAUUACUUGUUUCCUUUUGAUAACUUGUUUCCUCUUGAUAGCUUGUUUCCUUUUGAUAGCUUGUUUCCUUUCCAUAUCAAAAUGAAAAAAUUUUUACAAAUUUAUCAUCACAAAAAAGUACAAAUAAAAUUAAUAAAUAGGUUUAAGAAGAAAAAUUACAUAGAAUUCACUUGGAGGGGAGCUGGAAAUAACGACUGAUUGUACAAGCAAGUCCACUGCAGGAGAAGGGCCUUCCAAGUAAAAAAGGACACGAUCAGGCUUCUUUGGCAGGGAGAAUUUUCCUUCCAACUUUUCCCACCUUUCCUUUGACAGAGAAAUUCUGCAGGGAUAAGUUCCAUUAAGACAAUCUGUAUGUUUCAUUUAACGAAGAAAUGCAAUAAAGUGAAGCAACAAAUCUAUUACCUUCCAAUGAACAAAUAGUCCGUUGGGGAAUUUCCAUAUUCCACUCUCAAAGUAGCUUGUACAUCAGUGGUUCCCUGAAUAUUUCCUGAUACACCAAUAUAUGCAGUAACAUAAUAAGUGGAACCUGGAGAAACAAUGCUUGAGAUAUCUUGCUCCAAGCCCUGCCAACUUUCUGUUCGAUUUGUGACAACUGCAUAAUAACCGCCCCGCUUUGUUAAGAAUGCUGGGUGACCUGACUCUGCGGAAACCACAGAGAAACUGCAGCCAUUUGCUUGCCAAGAAUGCUGUCCUUGAGAGAAGUCAUGGUUCGUUAUGACAUUGAUGGUGGUGUUGCCACUUGAACUAGAUAUGCCUUGGUCCAUUAUGGUCUUGAUAGCAGUGUCACCGUAUGAACCAACUGUGCUCUGGUCCAUUGUGAUAUUGAUGGCACCACUGCUACUUGUAGAAGACAUGCCAUGGUCCCUUCUGAUAUUGGCGAUAUCGCUGCUACUUGAACUAGCUUUGCCCUGAUCCAUUAUAUUAAAGUUUGAGCAAGUUCGAAAUAUCUAUGUAAAACCAUGUAAAAAUUCUUCAAUAAUAAUAAUAAUACAACAAAUUGAGCGGGUAAAUUUUAGCGGAGAAAACUCACUGCGUUAAAGAUGUAUUAAAAUUUAUUUAGAAAGAUUAAAAUUUCGUUAUUAAAUAUAAAGAAUCACGCUAAAAUUUUUAGUGUUAUAAUUUUUAAUUUAUAAUCAUGCAGUAGUGAAUUUGAAUUUUUAAUUUACAACGAUAUAAUAGUGAAUUUAAAUUUUAUUAUUAAAUAUUCUAGCGAUAAAUUUUAUUCUCAAUAAAAAAUUAAUUUUGUAUAACGUGAUAAUAAAGAAUAUAAUCUCUUUAUUAUUUAAACAAGACAAAAAUUUAAUAUUAAAGUUAAAUAAAAAAAUUGUUUACACUAAAUUUAUAUCGAACAAUAACGUAAAAUAAUAAUUAAAUUUACAUAAAAUUUUAUAAAUUUAUAUUAUAGAACGAUAUAGAUUUAAUGUAAAUUAAGAAUUGAUCGUAGAGUUAAUUCAACUAACCUGAAUUGUUGGAUGAGGGGAGGAAGUUACUUUCUCGGCAUGCUUUAAAAAAAAGCCAUUAACUAGAAUAUCAACAUCUGCAGGUGGACCUUCUAUGAAAAUCACCACCUUUUUAAGAUAACCAUUAAGAAGGAACCUCCCUUUGAGUUGUACCCACUCCUUAUCUGUUACUUGCCGACUACAAAUCCAAAAAAACAAUUAAAAAAUAUAGAAUUUGAUUUGAUUGAUGAAAAUAAUAGAGAUGAUAUAAAUGAAUAAAACCUAAAACCUCACAUUUCUACAUCAUAGGUAUAAAAAUCUAUAUAAUCUAUAUCUAUAUAAAUAUAAUAAAAUUCAAGUCUAAAAUAAUUUUUAUUAAAGGUGAUAAGUGUUUUUUUUUUUUUUUUUUUUUNNGGUUGGGGGAGUCGAAUCUUAGACCUUUCAAGGUUACAGGAUGCACUUUCCACCAGGCUAAGCCUUGGAGUGCGAUAAAUAUCUUUCUUUUAUUUUUUUUUUAGUCCAUUUCGCCCCAAGUGACUUUUCACUUUAACGAAAUAAAGUUAAUGAUGAUAUAUUCUUUACGGAAUAAUAAUUAAUUCCUAAAGGAAAUUUUUUUAUAAUAUUUGAUUAAUAUUGAAAAUGAGGGUAAUUAUUACUCUAUUAAUUUUUACUAUGAUAUAAUAAAAUAAUAAAUAAAAAAAUUGAAAGGUUGAAAUUUAACUUUUAAAUGUGAGAUUCACCUGUUAUGUUUCGGAAGAAAUUUUAAAAAUAUCGCAUCCAUAAUUUACGAUAAAUCGAAAUUGUAUAUAAUAAUUAGAAUGAAAUUAUUAAAUAAUUUAUAUUAACUAUUUUAAAUUAAAUAAAAAAUGAGUUCAAAAAUUAUUUAGAUCAGUUCGGAUCGAACUGUUUCGAUUAGUAUCAGAGCCACUUUAGAAAGGUCCAAUCUUGAUUUAACAAUUAUAUUCGAUUCAAUUAUGAUAUUCUCUCUCAAUAAUUUCAGAUCAGGAAUUUAAGACAAAUUGAAAUCGUAUUAAAUAGUUAGUAUGAAACUAUUAAAUAAUUUGAGUUAACCAUUUUAAAUCAAAUAAAAAAUAAAUUUAAAAAUUAUUUAAAUCAGUUUAAACCGAACUGAUUUAUAUAAUAUCAUUUCAGAUAUUGCGGUAGGAGAGUCUGUACAAUAAAUAUACACUCACUAAAUUGAUAUAUUAUCGUAGUGUAAAUUUUAAUUCAAAAAAUCGACCAUAACUAAAUGAGAUUAAUUAUUUGUAGGAAUAAAAAUUUAAAAUUCUAAUUAUAAAAUGCUAUAGGUAUUUGGGCGUACAAAUUUUAUUUAAUAAUUUUUAAUUAAAUUAAUUUUAUUAAAUAAACUCAUUUAACAUGAAUUGAUCAAUUAAAAAAAAUUACAUGUCACUUAACUAAAAGAAACAAAUUAACUAAUAAAAUAGGCAAUGGAGAUUCUCCUUUCAAAUCUCCUAUAAAUAGAGAGGCUCUGCCCCACAGAAAAACUAGGAAGAUCAAGUUUAAACUAUAAAAGCAAAGGUCUUCUUUAUCGAUUUAAGAACAAAAUUAGAACAAAAAUUUCAAAUUCUUGAAUAGCAUAAAUUAAAUGAUUGAAUUUUUUUAUUUUAAAAAAUUUAUUAUUGGAGUCCGAACUCAUUUUUUUUUAUUUAAUUGAUAUUUUUUAAUUUCAGUUAUGAAAUUUAUGCGUAUACUAUUACCUCCUUUGACUCUAUAGCAGAUGUAGUAGUGGAACUUUAGAUUUUCUAUCUUAUAUUAUUCCAACUAAGUCCUAAAAGCAUCCACCCAACAUAGAUAAGUGUAGUUCAUAAAUAAAGUCAUGUGAACAAAGGGCUGAAUUAAGAAAAUGCUGUUUGCAGUGAUUCAAGGUGAUGAAAGAAUAAUAUAUACGGAGAUUAUUAGAGGGAAAAAGAGCUAACUUGGCAAUGCCUAUGUAUUCUUCUCGGAGAUCUGUCGUUUGGACGCAUAAAGUAACUCGCACAUCAGCACUGCUGACAUUGUUGCCAAAGAUCCGAACGACAGCAAUGGCCUCAUAAGCUAGCUUUGCCUGUACUUUUCCAGUUAUCUCCUGCUCGAUUCCGUUCCAGCACUGUGUACGUUCAGUUGCACAUGCAAAUACUUUUCCAAACUGGGGAACAAUUUUCCCACAAGCCAAUGAUUCAUGUAAGACAAGCUUGCAGCCUCUUCCAGACCACUUGUUCAGGCCAUCCUCAAAUUUAGGAUUUGCCAUGAUGUUCCCUUCUCCAUAUCCAAUGUCCACAAAUUGAUAAUUACUUGUUUCCUUUUGAUAACUUGUUUCCUCUUGAUAGCUUGUUUCCAUUUGAUAGCUGGUUUCCUUUUGAUAGCUUGUUUCCUUUUGAUAGCUUGUUUCCUUUCCAUAUCAAAAUGAAAAUUUUUUUACAAAUUUAUCAUCACAAAAAAGUACAAAUAAAAUUAAUAAAUAGGUUUAAGAAGAAAAAUUACAUAGAAUUCACUUGGAGGGGAGCUGGUAAUAACAACUGAUUGUAUAAGCAAG
rnacentral:lncRNA from 1 species